GCACAGCCGCCUCUUGAGGAGUGUUGGGGAAGACGAGGAAUAGGAAGCUCCCUAAGACAAAGGCAGCUCGAGCUCUAGAUGGGCAGAGAGACGUGUGUGCAUUACGUGUCUCAAGUCUUGGAACCUCAGCAGAACACCACUGGGCACUGCAGAAGGUUCGACUGGGACAACACAUUGCUGGUCCUGAAGAAGUUCACAAAUAGCCGGAAGCUGCAAGGUGAGAACAGCCGCAAAGGGGACACAAGAAGAGCUCUAAGGGCAUCGACGUCGACAUGAAUUUCAGUCUCG